rnacentral:rRNA from 1 species
AGUGAACGCUGGCGGUAGGCCUAACACAUGCAAGUCGAACGGCAGCACAGUAAGAGCUUGCUCUUACGGGUGGCGAGUGGCGGACGGGUGAGGAAUACAUCGGAAUCUACUUUUUCGUGGGGGAUAACGUAGGGAAACUUACGCUAAUACCGCAUACGACCUACGGGUGAAAGCAGGGGAUCUUCGGACCUUGCGCGAUUGAAUGAGCCGAUGUCGGAUUAGCUAGUUGGCGGGGUAAAGGCCCACCAAGGCGACGAUCCGUAGCUGGUCUGAGAGGAUGAUCAGCCAAACUGGAACUGAGCAACGGUCCAGACUCCUACGGGAGGCAGCAGUGGGGAAUAUUGGACAAUGGGCGCAAGCCUGAUCCAGCCAUACCGCGUGGGUGAAGAAGGCCUUCGGGUUGUAAAGCCCUUUUGUUGGGAAAGAAAAGCAGCAGGUUAAUACCCCGCUGUUCUGACGGUACCCAAAGAAUAAGCACCGGCUAACUUCGUG